UAAAAUAGUAAAAUAAACGAAAGUUUAUGACACAAAACCAAAGGUCUAAAAGUAUAUAUGCUUAUGAUGGCUAGGUUGC
rnacentral:ncRNA from 2 species